CAAGUUUGAUGUCAUCAAGCUUGUUACAAUUAAGUUGUUAACAGCUUGUUCCAAACUUGUGACAACAACUGGGAACAAGCAAUGCGAACACAACUUGUUGACAGCUUGUGAACAGAUUUGUAACAACUUGUUUGCAGACCUGUAGCAACUUGUGUGUUUUUAAUUGUGUGUGUAGGUGGAAACUAUGCUGUAUUCGCGCCAAACAUUCAUGUAAAUGAACAUACAGACAACCAAUAUUAACACGAAGAGAAAAACAUGUGACUCAACAUGCUGAUAUGAAGAUAAGAGCGUCUCUUGUCUUGAUGCGUAGGUUUAAAUCGUUCUAUACCAAGAAACAGCUGUUUAAGAAGAAAGAGCUUCAACGGAAUUCAACAACACGCUUUCUUUUUAGACAAAUAUUUUGGUGAAUUGUUUCUUUUAUACUUUUAUAGGCAUUUUCCUAAUCUGCCGGUAAUAUCGUCCGGUAUUUUAUAAAUCAAUUAUAUCUUUUGGUUUGUGGAAAUCACACCACGUAUAUUAAUUAUUGCAAUAACAAAUGAUGUUUUCCAGAACUCACAAGCUUUCAAGGACAAGGAAGUUUCCGUAUAUUACUGCAACCCAUA